rnacentral:misc_RNA from 1 species
GCUUUGGAGCAUUAGAAUUGGCCUGCAGGAGUAUUGAAAGUUAAUAAGCCCAGAAGAAAAAUACGAGCAGAACAAUGAGAUAUUCAGGUCCUCCUGGGAAGGACAGAACAUGCAGCGGAAACAGCGAAUCUGUUUGAAAAUUAUUCCAGUUUAAAUGCAACUAGCUUUUAAACAAGAAAGUAAUUCUGAUAAAUGAAUCUGCAUGCCAAAAAAGGGAAAAGCUUUUCAUGGAAAUAUCAGAUAAUGCAAAAAGAACAUA